rnacentral:tRNA from 1 species
GGUCUCGUAGCUCAGCUGGAUAGAGCAACAGCCUUCUAAGCUGUGGGUCUUGGGUUCGAAUCCCAACGGGAUCACUA